AGUGACAGCGGAAGCUUUGGCACUUCAAAAAUAUAUUCUGAAAUAUAUGGAAUACUCUUUUAAUUCUGAAUGGGAAAAUACGUUUAUACAAAUAUCAGAGCUGACUAAAGAACUACUCAGAAAUUUUAAAGAAAAGGUAUAAAAGUGACGAAAUAUUAAAAACAGAAAUAUAACCUAAUACUGGGUAUUACAUUCGUAAAUCGAUUAUAAUCAGCAUUGAUCUUUUUUAUUCUUAAGACAAUAAUUGGCGGCAACUUAACUAAUAUGUUAGUGCAAAUGAUUAGAG